rnacentral:rRNA from 1 species
CGUGUAGGCGGAACUUUAAGUCGGUGGUGAAAGCCUGCAGCUUAACUGCAGAACUGCCCUCGAUACUGAAGUUCUUGAGUGCGGCAGAGGGAGAUGGAAUUCAUGGUGUAGCGGUGAAAUGUGUAGAUAUCAUGAAGAACACCGGUAGCGAAGGCGGUCUCCUGGUCCGUAACUGACACUGAGGCGCGAAAGCGUGGGGAGCAAACAGGAUUAGAUACCCUGGUAGUCCACGCCUUAAACGAUGGGUACUAGGUGCUGGGCCGCAAGGUUCAGUGCCAAAGCUAACGCAUUAAGUACCCCACCUGGGGAUACGAUCGCAAGGUUGAA